rnacentral:rRNA from 1 species
UGUCAGGAGUUAUGAAAUGCAGGAGCGUUAAUAGCGUUCUUGCUUGACUAAGGCUCCAGAGGAAGCCACGGCUAACUCUGUGCCAGCAGCCGCGGUAAUACAGUGGCGGCAAGCGUUGUUCGGAAUUAUUGGGCGUAAAGAGCACGUAGGCGGCCUCGCAAGUCAGUUGUGAAAGCCUUCCGCUCAACGGAAGAAUGCCAGCUGAUACUACAGGGCUUGAGUACGGGAGGGGAGAGUGGAACUUCUGGUA